AUGGAACAUUUGCCGUUUCAGAAUAUUUUCUGUGUAUGUUUUUGUGGCUUGUGUAUUUUCCUGCUGUCUUUUUUGUUGUCCUUGUUUUUUUGUUGAUAUGAGGGGGAUGAGUGAAUGAACCAAUUUUAAAAAUAUCAAGUUCGUGGCUUAUGGUAUGCAUUUAAAUACCUGAGUUUGAUUUUUGUACACUGUGCAUAGGAUGUAAGGGGUUUUGUUUUGAUGGAUAAGUUAGUUUUCCAGACUUGCUGAUAUGUAGAGGCAAAACUUAGAUUAUAAAUUGUUUUAUUUCAAUUUUGUACUGGUGGUUUUUAUCUUCUGUAGUCCCAACAGCCUCUCUUUCUGUCCAUUGAUCCUUGCUUGACUUUUUAUGGCCACAUAGUCACUAACAGACUGUGAAAACACUGUAGUAUAUAUACCUCUGACCCCCAGUGCUGGCCAUUAUCCAUUGAUUUACUAUAUCUGACAGAUCAGAACAUAAGAUUGUAUUCUGUUCUGCUUUUCUCAAGAAGGCUUAACAUUGUGGAAAGAGUUGUCCUGAGAAUAUAUCACAUGGCAGAAUUGGGCAAAAGCUUGUUACUUGAACCUUUGGGGGGUGUCAGUGUGUGUUCAUAUUGUGUAGUAGAGAAUUAUUGGGAGGGAUUACUGGAGCGUUUAAAUCUGGUAAAAAUGUUAAACAUACUGCAGAAUUUGAUGUUAAGUAAAAUAAAGUUGUGAGCUUGAACUGUUAGAUCUUUAAAUGUAGCUAGUGAAUACUAAUGUGGUGGGUGUUGAAAUUUGCUUUCUUGGUGACAUCCAUCUCCAUGGGGCUGUUGCAAUCAUGAGAAAAGAUGAAAUCUGAUAUAUCUGAAUCUACUUGAUAAAGUAUUUCCUCAUGACUGCUGUUGUGAAACAAGAGCCAAGGACUGCAGAAAUAACUUAUCUGAGGACAAGGAGCUUGACUGAAAGGAAGAACCUGCAUUAACUCUGAAGCUAUUGUCUCUGUCUCUUCCUCUCUGUUUUGUUGAAAGGGCAGAAUAACAGGAACAUUUGAAAAGGGUAUUGGAAGUGUGCCUUCUGGAAGAGAAAACUAAUCUUGAAGAUGAAAUUUCAAUAAAGUUGAGUAUAGCUGUUCUGGAGAAAUGGGUAAGGACAUUCUACCGACUGUCACUUUCAGAAUUGUUAAAAUUGUCUAGAAUGGCAAAUUUCAGGAAAAAUUUCCCGUGACCCUUUUUUUCAGGGAUUUUAUUUAUUUUUGGUGUGGAAAGUGUCUUAUGAUUCCUUAGGAAUCCUCCAAACCAAGCAUGGAUGUACAUGAUAUUUAAUAAUUGCAAAAGAUGUAAAUAACAGCUUCAUGGUAUGAGCAGCAAUGUUUCUUACUCUGAUUUAAUCUUGUCUAGUACAAGUCUAAAACUCAUCAUUGAUCACAAGUCACAGAAUAUCUCUACAUAACUUUGUUUUACAAAGCUUAUAUUAGGCUGUAUUUAUUGUUCUUUUUCUCAAUGGAAGAUCCCUUUCAGAUUAACCCUGUGUGUUUUUUAUCUUUCUUUGGAUGUUUGACCAAUGAGAUCUAAGGCCUGAGAAGCCUUCAAAAUCAAAACUGUAGGCAUAAAAAAAGAACAAACUGAAGUUUAAAUAGUUUGCAGAACUUGCUUUACUCUGUUACGUAUAUUUUUCUAAUAGCUUGGGACUUGCAGAUAAAUGGUUCUGUUCUAAACAUCAGUUCUAUCAGGCUUUGUCCCUACCAGAAUGCUGAGAUUUUGGAAGAGCGCAGGGUGGGUAUUUCAUUUGUCUCUUUUGAUAUGUUGUAAUGAUUGUAUGUUGGCUUGUAAAUAUAGGGAACUCUGCUGCUGCUCUGUUUUGCUAACCUUUCUGAUUGCUCUGUUUUCAGUCAUUCUCAAAUCACUCCUGUGCUGCCUGACUGCCACUUUGCAUGACCCAGUUUGGGACAGUUUUGCUGGCUUCCUCUUUAUUCCCGCAAAUUGUUCUAAUCUUUGUGACUGCAGAAAUGUUUCCUCUGU